rnacentral:rRNA from 1 species
UACGGAGGGUGCAAGCGUUUCCGGAUUCCCUGGGUUUAAAGGGUGCGUAGGCGGGCCGGUAAGUCAGAGGUGAAAUCUCCGGGCUUAACCCGGAAACUGCCUUUGAUACUAUCUGUCUUGAAUAUGGUGGAGGUAAGCGGAAUAUGUCAUGUAGCGGUGAAAUGCUUAGAGAUGACAUAGAACACCUAUUGCGAAGGCAGCUUACUACGCCUAUAUUGACGCUGAGGCACGAAAGCGUGGGGAUCAAACAGG